GACGAACGCUGGCGGCGCGCCUAACACAUGCAAGUCGAACGGAGCUGAGAGAAGCUUGCUUUUCUUAGCUUAGUGGCGAACGGGUGAGUAACGCGUGAGUAACCUGCCCUGGAGUGGGGGACAACAGUUGGAAACGACUGCUAAUACCGCAUAAGCCCACGAUCCGGCAUCGGAUUGAGGGAAAAGGAUUUAUUCGCUUCAGGAUGGACUCGCGUCCAAUUAGCUAGUUGGUGAGGUAACGGCCCACCAAGGCGACGAUUGGUAGCCGGACUGAGAGGUUGAACGGCCACAUUGGGACUGAGACACGGCCCAGACUCCUACGGGAGGCAGCAGUGGGGGAUAUUGCACAAUGGGGGAAACACUGGUGCAGCGACGCCGCGUGGAGGAAGAAGGUUUUCGGAUUGUAAACUCCUGUCGUUAGGGACGAUAAUGACGGUACCUAACAAGAAAGCACCGGCUAACUACGUG
rnacentral:rRNA from 1 species